GUAGUCAUAUGCUUGUCUCAAAGAUUAAGCCAUGCAUGUCUAAGUAUAAGCAAUAUAUACAGUGAAACUGCGAAUGGCUCAUUAAAUCAGUUAUCGUUUAUUUGAUAGUACCUUACUACUUGGAUAACCGUGGUAAUUCUAGAGCUAAUACAUGCUAAAAAUCCCGACCUCUGGAAGGGAUGUAUUUAUUAGAUAAAAAACCAAUGUCUUCGGACUCCUUGGUGAUUCAUGAUAACUUUACGAAUCGCAUGGCCUUGCGCCGGCGAUGGCUCAUUCAAAUUUCUGCCCUAUCAACUUUCGAUGGUAGGCUAGUGGCCUACCAUGGUUUCAACGGGUAACGGGGAAU
rnacentral:rRNA from 1 species